GGCGGACGGGUGAGUAACGCGUGAGAAUCUGGCUCCAGGUCGGGGAUAACAGUUGGAAACGACUGCUAAUACCGGAUGUGCCGAGAGGUGAAAGAUUUAUUGCCUGGAGAUGAGCUCGCGUCUGAUUAGCUAGUUGGUGGUGUAAGGGACCACCAAGGCGUCGAUCAGUAGCUGGUCUGAGAGGAUGAUCAGCCACACUGGGACUGAGACACGGCCCAGACUCCUACGGGAGGCAGCAGUGGGGAAUUUUCCGCAAUGGGCGAAAGCCUGACGGAGCAAUACCGCGUGAGGGAGGAAGGCUCUUGGGUCGUAAACCUCUUUUCUCAAGGAAGAAGAAAGUGACGGUACUUGAGGAAUAAGCAUCGGCUAACUCCGUGCCAGCAGCCGCGGUAAUACGGAGGAUGCAAGCGUUAUCCGGAAUGAUUGGGCGUAAAGGGUCUGCAGGUGGAACUGAAAGUCUGCUGUUAAAGAGUUUGGCUUAACCAAAUAAAAGCGGUGGAAACUACAGAACUAGAGUGCGGUAGGGGCAAAAGGAAUUCCUGGUGUAGCGGUGAAAUGCGUAGAUAUCAGGAAGAACACCGGUGGCGAAAGCGUUUUGCUAGACCGUAACUGACACUGAGGGACGAAAGCUAGGGGAGCGAAUGGGAUUAGAUACCCCAGUAGUCCUAGCCGUAAAAGAUGGAUACUAGGCUG
rnacentral:rRNA from 1 species